rnacentral:rRNA from 1 species
AGAGGUGUAGUGGUGCUAUGAAUAGUGAGAUAACCAGAAGGUGUGGCGAAAGGUAGGUGGGAAUCCUGUCCGCCGAAAGACUAAGGUUGCCUGGGGCAGGCUCGUACUCCCAGGGUAGGGCGGGACCUAAGGUAAGGCCGAGAGGGGUAGCAGAUGGAAAAAAGGUAGAGAUUGAUGUAAGGAAAUUGGUGGAUAAGAGAAAAGGAGGGAAGGAGGAGGAUAAUGAAGCAUGUUGCUGGAAAUACAUGUGCAAGCAGUAAGAAAAAAGAUGAGUCAAAUGCUUGUCUUUAGAUUUCAAGCUGUGACGCGGAGUGAAAUCAAAGUAGCGACAGUCAUGAUGUAACACUGCCAAGAGAAGCUACACGCCAGAAACACUUUAACCGUAACGACGACCGACACAGAUAGCACAGUGGAGACCAACCAUGUGAUCGAGAGA